rnacentral:misc_RNA from 1 species
CACAAUAAAAUAUGAAGGCUGUACGGGGUGCUCGGGCACAGUUAGCGGCUGGCUGAAUUAUUAUUCACCCUAUGUCUUUUGCGCACUUGUUGUUUCCUGGGCGAGGUUCGCUCGCCACCAGGACCCCAUCAUAAACCUUUCUUUAUGCAGUUGCAAUCAGCGUCAGUAACAUAAUUGUAAUUAUUA